rnacentral:ribozyme from 11 species
GCCUUUCAAUAAAAAUGGAAGAAAAAAGAGACAACUUGUAUUUUUUUGUUUAUAUGCACAUCACUACAUAUAUAUGUACGCAUGCAUUCAUUCA